AACGAACGCUGGCGGCAGGCUUAACACAUGCAAGUCGAACGCCCCGCAAGGGGAGUGGCAGACGGGUGAGUAACGCGUGGGAACAUACCCUUUCCUGCGGAAUAGCUCUGGGAAACCGGAAUUAAUACCGCAUACGCCCUACGGGGGAAAGAUUUAUCGGGGAAGGAUUGGCCCGCGUUGGAUUAGCUAGUUGGUGGGGUAAAGGCCUACCAAGGCGACGAUCCAUAGCUGGUCUGAGAGGAUGAUCAGCCACAUUGGGACUGAGACACGGCCCAAACUCCUACGGGAGGCAGCAGUGGGGAAUAUUGGACAAUGGGCGCAAGCCUGAUCCAGCCAUGCCGCGUGAGUGAUGAAGGCCUUAGGGUUGUAAAGCUCUUUCACCGAUGAAGAUAAUGACGGUAGUCGGAGAGGAAGCCCCGGCUAACUUCGUGCCAGCCGCCGCGGUAACAC
rnacentral:rRNA from 1 species